UACGUAGGAUGCAAGCGUUGUUCGGAAUUACUGGGCGUAAAGAGUACGUAGGCGGUUUGAAAAGUCUGAUAUUAAAGACUGGGGCUUAACUCCAGGAGUGUAUCGGAAACUUUCAGACUAGAGGACAAUAGAGGAAGUCGGAAUUCUCAGUGUAGCGGUGAAAUGCGUAGAUAUUGGGAAGAACACCAGUGGCGAAAGCGGACUUCUGGGUUGUUACUGACGCUGAGGUACGAAAGCAUGGGGAGCAAACGGG
rnacentral:rRNA from 1 species